UCGUUAGAUGCAUACCUGCAAACUCAUGAGGGAUGAAAAAGGGGACAACGGGGGGGGGGGGGGGGGGGUGCAGGUGACUUUUCUUUUUUUUGUCACCACACCACAUCCACAUUGUUUGAAGCCUCAAUGCUUUUAGAACCACAACUACAGUCAUUUUAUUGUUCUGACCACAAAUCUAAAUAAUGAUAAACAGUUUAAGAACAAAAGGUCCUCCGCUCUGACUCAGCCCUAUAAUGAUAGUAAUAACAAAUAUACAUUGUCAUUAUAUAUAAUAUGGUUAAAGUCAUUCAUGAACCAACUUCCUUUUUUUUCCCUGAAUCUGUUCUGUCUCUACCUGUUCGUCACGAUACUCAUAUUAUAACUUCUAUACAUAUUACAUACCUGCCAUAAAUAUCAUGAUAUCUGAUACCAGAAUUCAAUACCAUAAAUACGAGACUGGUAUAUUUAUCUAUAAUAGUAAUAAAUAAAAUAUUUGUAUGGUUCACUUAUUACCAACUUUUUCAACACUUAACAAAUGACAGUAAUAUUAGUAUUAAUACAGCCAGAUAUGAAUGAAACUACAUGGUUCCAUCAUGAAAUAAUGAGAUAUACUUUAUUAAUCCCCAAGGGGAAAUUAGUUCUCUGCAUUUAACCCAUCAUUAGUUAUUAAGGAGCAUUGAUUAUACACUAUGAGGCCGUUAGUCUGACCAGAUGAUACAGAGUUCAUCAGGAUGAGCAGCUGUAGAGUUACACAACUUUACAGACUGAAACAUUUCACUUCUGGCAUCUUUUUAUUUUUUAAGCCGAAGUCUCUAAAGCUGCGCCACUUCUCUCGCUGUGAGCUGCGCAGCGCAGUGUGCGCAGACAGCUCGACACGGAGCAGCGCGUGCGCUCUGAUCGCUCUCUUAAUGAAGUAUUUGAUACUAAAAAUAUGCUAAAUCACAUCGUGUUUAACGUACGGGUACUUUGUUAGCAUCGCUACACCGUGCAGCGUGACAGCAGCAGAUGUAGCGGGCUAACAUUCAAGCUAACCUGAACCCCCAAACGAUGUCGACAUCUGAACGCUGAUUGGCCGAGACUCGACACGUCCCAUCAAAGAUGUUUUAUUGCGAAGAGCACCACGUCACACUUUUCUCCGCGUCUCACUGCAAUCUCAACGGCAGCGGGCCAGGUGAACCCCCCCCCCCCCCAAAAAAAAACCCCAAAGCUCUUCGGAUCUCCACGAUUCACGUGGAUGACCUAUUUUGAGUUCAAAACGGUGAAUUUCACCGAAAGGUGACAAAUUUGCAGUUCCUCAGAUCCACCAAAGCCGUCCUUCUCUCCAGCCCCCAAGUCCAACUUUUGCUUUCAAUCCUUGGCUUGUGGCUUUGCUUGUCCCUCUUGUUGCUCUUCAUCAAGUUUGUCCUGGAUGAACUGGAGGCCUAAACAUCACCUGAUCAGAAAGCGGCGCUGUGUGCAGCAAUGUGCGCUCUUCUCAGCUUGAUGGCAAAGAAAAUGACAACCACCAGUAGACCGAAUAUCAGGCAUGUGACCAGGAAGACCAGUAAUGAUGAACUUCCUCCGGUUCCUGUCCGUAUAUUUGUGUCAUUAAAACUCCCUGAAAAUGUACACAAUGCUAGUUAUUUCAGCAAAACCCGAAUCUCUUUUAAAGACUGUUAUCUCACUAUCAUUUUUAUAGCAGGGCAACUGAACUUCAAUAAACCUCUGUUCACAGUGUGAACGGACCUGUUCGGUU